rnacentral:rRNA from 1 species
AACGAACGCUGGCGGCAUGCCUAACACAUGCAAGUCGAACGAGACGUUCGGGUCUAGUGGCGCACGGGUUCGUAACGCGUGGGAACCUUCCCUUAGGUUCGGAAUAACUCCCCGAAAGGGGUGCUAAUACCGGAUAAUGUCUUCGGACCAAAGAUUUAUCGCCUUUGGAUGGGCCCGCGUUGGAUUAGCUAGUUGGUAGGGUAAAAGCCUACCAAGGCGACGAUCCAUAGCUGGUCUGAGAGGAUGAUCAGCCACACUGGGACUGAGACACGGCCCAGACUCCUACGGGAGGCAGCAGUGGGGAAUAUUGGACAAUGGGCGAAAGCCUGAUCCAGCAAUGCCGCGUGAGUGAUGAAGUCCUUAGGGUUGUAAAGCUCUUUUACCCGGGAUGAUAAUGACAGUACCGGGAGAAUAAGCUCCGGCUAACUCCGUG